AUAAGCGACUCAGGGCACGAGGUGGAUGCCUUGGGACAUGUCGGCGAUGAAGGACGGAAAGGCCACGAAAGAGUGCGGAGAGCUGCCAACGAAGCGUUGACCCGCACGUGUCCGAAUGGGGAAACCCACUGGGAGUCAAAUCCCAGUACUUACAUCUGAGUAAAGUAGGGUGUGAGAGCAUACGGAGUGAAUUGAAACAUCUCAGUAACUCCAGGAAAAGAAAUCAAGCACGAGAUACCCUGAGUAGUGGCGAGCGAAACGGGUAGAGCCUAAACCGGCACAAGCAAUUGUGACCGGGGUUGCGGGAGCCCAACGUGGGACUUAUUUUUGUAGCUGAACGGUCUGGGAAGGCCGGCCAUAGUGGGUGAUAGCCCCGUAAGCGAAACGAAAAUAAGCCUUAGGGAAUUCCCAAGUAACAUGGGGUCGGAGGAUCCCUGUGUGAAUCCGGGUGCACCAUCAUCCAAGGCUAAAUACGACAUGUCACCGAUAGCGCAUAGUACCGUGAGGGAAAGGUGAAAAGAACCCCGUAAAGGGGAGUGAAAUAGAAUCUGAAACCCCGUGCCUACAAGCGGUGGGAGGGCUAUACCCGAAAGGGAAAUGCCUGACCGCGUACCUUUUGCAUAAUGAGCCAGCGAGUUAGUGUCGGUCGCAAGGUUAACCCGUAGCAGGGGAAGCCGUAGCGAAAGCGAGUCUGAAUAGGGCGAAUGAGUGGCCGGCACUAGACCCGAAACGUGGUGAGCUAGACAUGACCAGGUUGAAGCGUUCGUAACAGAGCGUGGAGGACCGAACCGGUGCCCGUUGAAAAGGUCUCGGAUGAGUUGUGUUUAGGGGUGAAAGGCCAACCAAACUACGUGAUAGCUGGUUCUCCCCGAAAGCUAUUUAGGUAGCGUCUCAUGGAGAAUCAUUGGGGGUAGAGCACUGACUAGGCUAGGGGCCUUACCGGGUUACCAACCCUUAUCAAACUCCGAAUACCAAUGAAUUUUACCCCAUGGGAGGCAGACGGCGGGAGAUAAGUUUCGUCGUCAAAAGGGAAAGAACCCAGAUCGCCAGCUAAGGUCCCAAAUUCUACGCUGAGUGGGAAAGGAUGUGACAAUCCCCAGACAACCAGGAGGUUAGCUUAGAAGCAGCUAUCCUUUAAAGAAAGCGUAAUAGCUCACUGGUCGAGGAUUGUUGCGCCGAAAACGUAACGGGGCUGAAGCGUAGAACCGAAGCUGCGAAUGCGACACAUCGCUGAUGUGUUGCGUGGUAGGGGAGCAUUGUCUAAGCCGGUGAAGAUCGAGCGUAAGCACGGUUGGAGGUAUGACAAGAGCUGCUGCUGGUAUGAGUAGCGAUAAAUUAGGUGAGAAUCCUAAUCGCCGUAAGCCCAAGGGUUCCUGCACACGGCUCGUCCGGGCAGGGUUAGUCGAGACCUAAGUCGAGGCUGAAAAGCGUAGACGAUGGAGAUGGGGUUAAUAUUCCUCAACUGUGUAUGAAGCGUUAUCAAUCUAGUCAGGACCGAGAAAGUCCGUCUGAGCCAGUCAUCGGUUGUACUGGUCUAACCACGUAGGGGUGUUCUGUAGGCAAAUCCGCAGAACAGUUAAUCUCCGAGAUGGGAAUGCGUGAGGGGUAACUCCCUUGGAAGUCAGACGUACUCGGCUCGCAAGAAAAGUGGCGAGAUGAGUUUCAUAUACACUCGUACCGGAAACCGACACAGGUGGGCGAGGAGAGUAUCCUCAGGCGCGUGAGAGAACUCCAGCUAAGGAACUCUGCAAAUUACUCCUGUAACUUAGGGAUAAAGGAGCCCGUUAGUAGGUGAAGUGACUACGCGUCAUCAGCUGAAUGCGGGGGCAGAAACUAGGGGGUAUCGACUGUUUAACAAAAACACAGGACUCUGCUAACUCUUUUGAGGAAGUAUAGGGUCUGACGCCUGCCCGGUGCCGGAAGGUCAUGGGGAGAGGUCAUCAACUUCGGUUGAGAAGCUUCGAACUUAAGCCCCGGUAAACGGCGGCCGUAACUAUAACGGUCCUAAGGUAGCGAAAUUCCUUGUC
rnacentral:rRNA from 1 species